GUUCCUGCAGUCCAUUUUACUAUUGACAAUCCAUACAUUACAACAUGCCCCUAAGUAUAAUUAUGUGUCUAAAGAAAAGCAAGAAAAAGGUUUAAAAAAAUAAAAAAUAAAAAAUAACAUUUUCCUAAUUCUAAACCUUCAGCUAUUACAAAACCCCCUCGAACCAACUUCAGCUUGCAAGAAUUUCAGCUAUGAAGCUGUUACCUACAAGCCAAGCCUUCAAUUCCAUGCUCUGAAAUUUCUUAGCUUUAUUGCUACUUACAUACAAAGCAACAGAAAUAAAGUACACAAUUCAGUAUUUGCAGAAAUCGAUUUGUUGGUGUAUUUUUAACUAGAGCAACAAAAAGAAAGAAGAAAAAUUACUUCAGCAAUCGGAAUUCACAUUUUUAGUAUAAGGUCUUGCCUAAAAAUCUUCAAACUUAGACAUCUUUUAAAGAAGUUACAAAGACUAGUAAGCCAAACAAAGGAGUCAUGUUGGUGCAUUUCCAUGUUCAAACAAUAAAAUCUACUAUAUUUAUACCAAAUAAGUCAAAUAUCAUAUGAAAACUCAUUCAUUACACAUAUCUGGCAAACUUGCUGAUACUAUAUUAUCUCAAAACAAGCAGUACAUGAGGGAAAGUGAGAUUAAUACCUUGCAGCAGCAAGAAACAAGCAAUAAACAGAUGAAAUGCUUUACCAAAACCUUAAUGAAAGAGCAUCCAACAAAAUACCAAGCAGCAACAGUGUAAAACCAACCCAGAAAACCAGAAUCAACACUCAAUGUUUCCAAAAUCAGAGUAUCAGUAAAUUAGCCUAGAAGCUUAAUUAGAAAAACUGAAGUUUUCAGGAAAGAGGUUUUAGGGAGUUUUUCUCUUUUGUUUUCAGAAGUAUUAGAUGCAGAAAAU
rnacentral:lncRNA from 1 species